GGGGUAUUAUAUUCAAAUGCCUCAUGACAUGCACAGAGCAUUUGGAUGUUAUCCUCUAUUGAUUCGCCAUGGUACCCCGGCUGAUCUUUACUCUGACCAAGGGACAAAUGUCAGAGGGGGAAGAAACGAGUAGAGAAAAGCCAUGGUACCCCGGCUGAUCUUUACUCUGACCAAGGGACAAAUGUCAGAGGGGGAAGAAACGAGUAGAGAAAAGUUUUCUCUACUGAUGGACACAUGAACUCUAGUCCUGUCCUGUCAUGGCUAUGGAGGCCAUCUAUGAACUCACUCCCUGUCCUGUUAUGGCCACGGAGGCCACUCAGGAACUCACUGCUUGUCAGGUCACAGCUACAGAGGCCAUCCAUGAACUCACUGCCUGUCCUGUCAUGGCCAUGGAGGACAUCCACAAACUCAAUGUCUGUCCUGUCAUGGCCACGGAGGCUAUCCAUGAACUCAUGGCCUUUCCUUUCAUGGCCAUGGAGACCAUCUAUGGGGGCCGUUUGGGAACUCUCUAACUGCUUUUUCACGGCUACAGAGGCUGCCAUUAAUCGGUUCUGUUCUCUGUUUCAGUCUAACCUGACGUGCUCUCCUGUGCCACUAUGCUCUAUGCUCCUCCCUGGUGUGCUUCUGGCCCAGCUGCUCGGCUGUGGUGGUCCUCUGCUCUGCCCUGAUGGGCUUCUGUCCCAUCUGCUCGACUGUGGUAGCCCUCUGAACCGCCCUGGUGGGCUUCGGUCUCGUCUGUGGUUGUCCUCUGCUGUGCCCUGGUGGGCUUCUGUCCCACUGCUCGGCUGUGGUAAUACUCUGCUCCACCCUGGUGGGCUUCUGUUCCAUCUGCUCGACUGUGGUGGUCCUCUGCUCCGCCCUGGUGGGCUUCUGUCCCAUCUGCUCGACUGUGGUGGUCCUCUGCUCUGCCCUGGUGGGUUUCUGUCCCAUCUGCUCUGCUGUGGGGGUCCUCUGCUCCACCCUGGUGGGCUCCAGCUCUGUGUGGUCCAUCCUGGUGGGCUCCAGUUCCGCCUGCUCUGCCCCUGUGGGCUACAGUUCCGCCUGCUCCACCCUGGCUUCCUGCUCUUUCGGCACUGCCUCAGUCUUCAGCCAAUCCACUUGCACGUGGACCUGGCCCUCCAUCCCUCCUCCCUGAUCCGCCUUUGCUCCACCACCCACCUGAACUUUGGACCGUCUUAAUUAGAAGCAUCUGGAAGCCACU
rnacentral:lncRNA from 1 species